GUAGAGCUCCGGGAACCGUGUCCCCCUUCGGGUGGUGGCUGAGGGCUCGGGCCCAAGGCCGAGCGACGCCGGCGACUCGUGGUCCCCAGCGCCGCCCUCCUCGGACGCCUCCACAGGCGCCGCGCCCUUCCCGCCGUCCGCGGUGCAGCCUUGCCUCGGGGCGGCUCAGCCGGCCGCGCCUCUUACCUCCGUCUUAUGCUUAACUCACCAGCACAGGCACCCAGGGUCCACAUCCUUCUGAACGGCCACUCGUCUUCAUCUGGGUGUCAGGACCCACGCGGGGUCAGGACCACCCACGCUUCCGUGACUGCCUCUCGCGGAGCGACCUUCCCGGUUUCGCUGACCCCGGGAUGCUGUACCCCGGAAACUGCAGUUCCACCCAAGGGCUUGAUCCGGUCUAGGUCACACAGAGACGUGCAGCCACAAAACACUCGGUGACGCCAGGGCCUGAGCGCUUCCUUUCAACAAAGGCUUUGGUCUGCAGGCCUCCAGUCACAGCAGUGAGGGCCACAGUGCGCCACCUGUCACAUUCAUCACCACUCAAGUCCAUGUGGCCUCACAUCACCAGGGGAGGCCACCAGGCAGGUAUCAGCUCCACUUCCCAGGUGCCACCCAGGGUCUCGUGGGCACACACCGCUGGCGAGGGACAGGCUGGGCCUGGCAGACAGCACUGGCAGCCGGUGAAGCGCCCACCACACUGGGUCAGCCUCGGGUCCUGACCCUGGAGGCUGCUGUUUCAAAGCUGUGGGGACCAAGAUGGAGAGCCAAGCCACUCUCAUGACGACCGUUCCCAAGGGCACCGCAGAAGAAAAGCAAGUCUCUAUCACCAGUGACAGUAUUCAGCUGCUCUCUGGACCUGUUCUCUUUGCU